GAUGAACGCUGGCGGCGUGCCUAAUACAUGCAAGUCGAGCGAACGGACGAGAAGCUUGCUUCUCUGAUGUUAGCGGCGGACGGGUGAGUAACACGUGGAUAACCUACCUAUAAGACUGGGAUAACUUCGGGAAACCGGAGCUAAUACCGGAUAAUAUUUUGAACCGCAUGGUUCAAAAGUGAAAGACGGUCUUGCUGUCACUUAUAGAUGGAUCCGCGCUGCAUUAGCUAGUUGGUAAGGUAACGGCUUACCAAGGCAACGAUGCAUAGCCGACCUGAGAGGGUGAUCGGCCACACUGGAACUGAGGCACGGUCCCGGCUCCUACGGGAGGCAGCAGUAGGGAAUCUUCCGGAAUGGGCGGAAGCCUGACGGAGCAACGCCGCGUGGGGGAUGGAGGUCUUCGGAUCGUAAAACUCUGUUAUUAGGGAAGAACAUAUGUGUAAGUAACUGUGCACAUCUUGACGGUACCUAAUCAGAAAGCCACGGCUAACUACGUG
rnacentral:rRNA from 1 species